UACGGAGGGUGCAAACGUUGCUCGGAAUCAUUGGGCGUAAAGCGCACGUAGGCGGCUCGAUAAGUCGGGUGUGAAAGCCCUCGGCUCAACCGAGGAAGUGCAUCCGAAACUGUCGGGCUUGAGUACUGGAGAGGAUGACGGAAUUCCCGGUGUAGAGGUGAAAUUCGUAGAUAUCGGGAGGAACACCAGCGGCGAAGGCGGUCAUCUGGACAGAUACUGACGCUGAGGUGCGAAAGCGUGGGGAGCAAACAGG
rnacentral:rRNA from 1 species